UACGUAGGGUGCAAGCGUUGUCCGGAAUUAUUGGGCGUAAAGAGCUCGUAGGCGGUCUGUCGCGUCUGCUGUGAAAACUCGGGGCUUAACCCCGGGCCUGCAGUGGGUACGGGCAGACUAGAGUGCGGUAGGGGAGACUGGAAUUCCUGGUGUAGCGGUGAAAUGCGCAGAUAUCAGGAGGAACACCGGUGGCGAAGGCGGAUCUCUGGGCCUUGCCUGACGCUCAGGCGCGAAAGCUAGGGGAGCGAACUGG
rnacentral:rRNA from 1 species